rnacentral:rRNA from 1 species
AUACGUAGGGAGCGAGCGUUGUCCGGAAUUACUGGGUGUAAAGGGAGCGUAGGCGGGAGUGCAAGUCAGAUGUGCAAUACAUGGGCUCAACCCAUGGGAUGCAUUUGAAACUGCAUUUAUUGAGUGAAGUAUAGGGAAGAGGAAUUCCUGGUGUUGCGGUGAAAUGCGUAGAUAUCAGGAGGAACACCGGUGGCGAAGGCGGCUUACUGGGCUUUUACUGACGCUGAGGCUCGAAAGCGUGGGGAGCAAACAGGAUUAGAUACCCUGGUAGUCCACGCUGUAAACGAUGAUUACUAGGUGUGGGGGGACUGACCCCUUCCGUGCCGCAGUUAACACAAUAAGUAAUCCACCUGGGGAGUACGGCCGCAAGGUUGAAACUCAAAUGAAUUGACGGGG